rnacentral:lncRNA from 1 species
AGGAACCAGAGAGAGCAGCAGUGAGUUCUGCUCCAGAGUUUUCAGAGCCUGCAGAGUCAGUCCAGUUAGCCAGAGGUGAGUGGAACUAAACUUAACUCUUUUACUUGCACAAUGGAAUGUUUUAGCAUAUCUCAUGCAUCAUGAUUAUGCCAUAGGUUGAAUGCAUUAGUAUCCACGAAUAUGUUGCAUUGCAUCGUUAUUUGAUGAUGUGGGUAAAUGCUGAAUGAUCCAAUAGUCUCAGACAGGAAGUCCAGGAGCCUUUGACUACGCCCUGGCAGGUAUAGAGAAGUCCAGGAGCCUUUGACUACGCCCUGGCAAUGGUAAGUACAAAGGUGUUAUAUACACAUAUACAUAUAUGACAGGAAGACCAGGUGCUCGAUUCUACGCCCUGGCACAGAGUUACUGGGACUAUGUGGUGACAGGUUUACUCUUGAUGUGGCUUGUCUGUGCUAUGGUGCAUUCCAUGAGAUCAUAUUUUACUGAGAUGUUUUACUGUUCUACUCACUGGGCUAUAGAGCUCAUCAUACUCCCUUAACCCCAGUUUUGCAGGUUCAGUGUACAGUGUACAGGGACAGUCCAGCAGAGUAUAGAAAGAGUAAAGAGAUUUGUAAUAGCGUAGAGUGGACAUGUAAUAGUAAAGAGAUGUAAUAGUUGUGUAAAGUUAGAAAUGUGCUUGACUUAGUGAUGUAUGUUUUGUACAUGAUCAGUAUAUGUAUAUAUGUUUUGUUUUAUGUGAAAAACCAGGCUUAACAGAGUACAGAGUACAGAGUACAGAGUACAGAGUACAGAGAUAGUGCAUGCACAGGUUAAGCCUUGGUUCAGAAAAGAGUUUUUAUUUUCACAAAAAAUGUAUGAUCAUGUAUGAGUUUUACAAGUACACAGAGAGUAUAGCAGGCUUGCUACGGGUUCUGGCGGCCUUAAGCGGACCUGAAUCCUAGCUCCGGUGACGGUCCAAUUUUGGGGUCGUUACAGAUUGGUAUCAGAGCCCUAGGUUCACAUGAUCGGACCUAUAGAGACUGUGUUGGGCUCAUACAGGUUAGAAGUGGUCAAGCACAAUAGGAAAUCAUGUCCACUAGGAUAGGGUAUUGAGUCCUAUCUGUUAUGAUAUGCCAUGAGUUAUGCAUGUGCCUUAUUGAUAUGUGAUGUUUAUGUGCUAAAGUGCUAUAUUAUAUGUUGUGUUUCAAAAGUAAAGAUGAGAGGAACUCAUCGAUCAGCUCGAUUGACUGGAGUCCCACCAGAGAGUGAGAGACCAGCUGCUCGUCCUCCUGCAUUGCCGAGGGCAAGGUCUCAGAGAUCUAGCAGGGAAGGCACGUCAGUAGACCCUAGAAGGUCUGUAGACAAGAGUAGAAGAGGUACAGCUAGGGGAGGAAGAUCAGAGGAAAGGAGGGAGGCUAUGGAGAUUGAUCAGUCUAGAGAUGAUUGCAUGGGUAUAGGCAGAUUUGCGGAGGGUAUGGGAGAAUCACAGGGAGGUGUGCAGACCUCAGGUUUUGGCUAUCCAGCCUUUCCGCAGGACCCAGAGUAUCCGAUGGGAGGUAUGUCGGAGUACUCUAGUUUUAUCCCAUAUCCCCCUUACAUGCCGUAUAUGCCUUAUCCUCCUUACUAUCCACCAUAUCCUAUGUAUCCAUCUUCCCCUACCCAUCCAAGUGCAGCACACCUAGAGUCAAAUGAACCAGUACCACCACCAGAACCAGUAGCCCCUAUUGUUGAUAGACAUCAACCUAGCUCAUUUGGAGGUAAGGUACAAAUGACGGAGUACUUGAAAUUGGAUGCUCCUAAAUAUAACACGGGAGAUGAUCCAUUUGACUACCUCAGAGCAGUUAGGAUGAUAACCAGUGAGUUGGGAGCAGAUGAUAGGAGAGACAUUGAGAUGGCAGGAUUUACACUGAAAUGUAAGAAAGCCAGAGAAUGGUUCAAGAAUUAUGUGGAACCCAGGAUGACCAGUAUGUCUUGGGGAGAGUUCGCCAAUGAAUUUGCAGGGUGGGCUUUUCCUGACAGUUCAAGGGAGAUGAAAGUCAUAGAGUUUGAACAGUUGCGACAAACAGAUGAGAUGAGUGUUGAUGAAUUCACAGAUAAGUUCCUGGAUUUGCUUCAGUAUGUGGGUUAAGCCUAUGAUACUGAUCAGAAGAAGGCAAGGAGAUAUACUAUGAGACUGCAUUCCAGGUAUUCUUCCUUGAUUCUUCCAGCAGAAAAGGAGAGUGUCCACACGAUAGUAGACGCAGCCAGGAAAAUGGAAGCUAGUGCCAAUAUUCAGAAACAGUCAAAGGCACAGGCUUCGGGUUCUAAAGCCCCCACUUCAGGCAGUAAGAGAUGGGAUAGAGCAAAAGGAACAAAGAGUAAGUUCUGGAAUAAAGUCAAGUCAGGUCUGGGAAUAGGUAGUGGCUCAAGCUCUGGCACAGCUCCAGUAUGCAGACGAUGCGAAAAACCACAUGGAGGAGUUUGUCGGUUGGGAUCUACAGCUUGUUUUCGAUGUGGACAGGAAGGGCAUAUUGCUCGGGAUUGUCCGUAGAUGACUUUUGCACCAUCCCAGCAGAUGAGUUCAGGCAGUGUGGUACAGCCAGUUGUUCGGCCAGCAGCUUCAGUCAUGCCUCAGAGUAGUGGUAGAGGUAGAGGGAGAGGGGCAGCCUCUACUUCAGCAGCAGGUUCCCGAGGUGGAAAUCCGGUAGCCCUAGCACGGAUUUUCACUGUGACACAGGAGGAGGCUAACACGUCGAACACAGUGGUGUCAGGUAAUCUCAUCAUUGGGUGUUCAGAUGUGUUUGCUUUGAUGGACCCCGGUGCUUUUCAUUCCUUUAUUGCUUCGAGAGCCAUAGAGAGAUUGGGUUUGAUCAAUUCUGAGUUAGAGUAUCCUCUCUGGGUCAGUGGACCUAGAUGUGACCCAUCAGUGGCAGUGUCAGUCUGUCGUUUCAGUCCAGUGUUCAUAAAGGGUAGAUGCCUUCCAGCUGACCUUGUGGUUCUAGACUUGACAGAUUUUGAUGUCAUUCUAGGGAUGGAUUGGUUAUCUGCAUAUAGUGCUACGUUGGACUGUAGAGAGAAGAUAGUGAGUCUCAGAGACCAGGAUGGGUCAGAGUGUGUCUUCAGAGGAGACAAGAGAGGUACACCCAGAGGUAUGAUUUCAGCCCUUUAGGCUCGUCGUUUGCUUAGGAGGGGUUGUCAGGGGUUCCUAGCUCAUGUGAGAGAGCUAGACAGUCAGGUGAGGGAACCAGCUACAGUACCAGUAGUCCGAGAGUUUCUCGAUGUUUUUCCAGACGAACUUCCAGGACUACCACCUGGUAGGGAGAUAGAGUUUGAAAUCGAAUUGCUGCCUGAUACCAGACCUAUCUCUAUUCCUCCCUACAGGAUGGCGCCAGCAGAGUUAAAAGAGUUAAAAGAGCAGUUGCAGGACUUGGUAGAUAAGGGUUUCAUCCGCCCCAGUACCUCACCUUGGGGUGCUCCAGUGCUCUUUGUCAGAAAGAAGGAUGGAUCCCUCAGACUUUGUAUCGACUACAGACAGUUGAACAAGGUCACUACCAAGAAUAGGUAUCCUUUACCUAGGAUUGAUGAUCUAUUUGACCAGCUAGCUGGAGCAGGUUGUUUUUCUAAAAUAGAUCUGAGAUCUGGGUAUCAUCAGUUGAGAGACAGAGAGGCAGAUGUACCAAAGACAGCGUUCAGAACUUGAUAUGGGCAUUAUGAGUUCUUAGUGAUGCCGUUCGGGUUGACUAACGCCCCUGCAGCAUUUAUGGAUCUCAUGAACAGGGUAUUCUGUGAGUUUCUGGAUCACUUUGUCAUUGUUUUCAUCGAUGAUAUUUUAGUGUAUUCCAGAGAUGCAGAGGAGCAUGCCCAGCAUCUGAGGAUAGUUUUGCAGACACUGAGAGAGCAUGGUUUGUAUGCCAAGUUCUCGAAGUGUGAGUUUUGGUUGCGGAGCAUUGCCUUCUUGGGACAUGUGGUAUCAGUAGAGGGUAUUGAGGUAGAUCCCAAGAAGAUCGAGGCUGUAGCUAACUGGCCCAGACCCACUACAGUGACUGAGAUUAAAAGCUUUCUGGGACUGGCAGGUUAUUACAGGAGGUUCGUUCAGAACUUCUCAAAGAUAGCGGCUCCUAUGACCAAACUGACUCAGAAGAACCAGAAGUUUGUCUGGUCAGACCAGUGUGAAGAGAGCUUUGAGGAGCUCAAGAGGAGAUUGACCACAGCACCAGUGUUAGCUCUGCCUGUGAGUAAUGCGGAUUUCACAGUGUUCUGUGAUGCAUCUCGAGUGGGAUUGGGUUGUGUUUUGAUGCAGAGUGAUAGGGUGAUAGCUUAUGCUUCUAGGCAGUUGAAGAAGCACGAGUUGAAUUACCCCACCUAUGACCUCGAGAUGGCAGCAAUUAUCUUUGCACUUAAGAUGUGGCGGCAUUACCUCUAUGGGGUUAAAUGCGAGAUCUUCACCGAUCACAAGAGUUUACAGUACAUCUUGAGUCAGAGAGAGCUCAAUUUGAGACAGAGAAGAUGGGUCGAAUUGCUCAGUGAUUAUGAUUGUAAGAUCCAGUAUCAUCCGGGUAAGGCGAAUGUUGUGGCAGACGCCCUAAGCCGGAAGUCACUAGGCAGUUUAUCCCAUAUCGCAGCAGAGCGGAGACCAGUCGUGAUAGAGCUUUACAAGCUCUUAGAUGAGGGGUUACAGUUAGAGUUAUCUGGUACAGGUGCGUUGAUAGCACAGAUGAGAGUGACACCUGUGUUUCUGGAGCAGAUCGCACAGAGACAGCAUGAGGACCCUGAGUUGAUGAAAAUUGCCAGGACUGUUCAGUCAGGCAACAGUGCAGAAUUCAGAUUUGAUAGCAAAGGGAUCCUCCGCUAUGGGAGUCGACUUUGUGUACCAGAUCGGGGCAGUGUGAAGGAAGACAUUAUGAGGGAAGCUCAUAAUGCGAGGUAUAGUGUUCACCCAGGAGCCACCAAGAUGUAUCAAGAUCUGAAAAAGGUUUAUUGGUGGCCAGCCAUGAAGAAAGAAGUGGCGCAGUUUGUGACAACCUGUGAGGUUUGUCAGAGGGUGAAACUAGAGCAUCAGAAACCAGCAGGAAUGCUUAACCCAUUACCGAUUCAAGAGUGGAAAUGGGAGAACAUAGCCAUGGAUUUUGUAGUGGGUUUACCAGCUAUGUCCAACAGGAUAGACUCUAUCUGGGUGAUUGUGGACAGACUCACGAAAUCUGCUCAUUUUCUUCCAGUACGGAGUAACUAUUCUGUGGAUAAGUUGGCACAGGUCUAUCUGGAUGAGAUCGUGAGAUUACAUGGUGUUCCAGUGUCGAUAGUCUCAGACAGAGGACCUCAGUUUACCUCCCGCUUUUGGCGGAGUCUGCAGAGUGCGAUGGGCACGCGAGUGGAUUUUAGCACUGCUUUCCACCCACAGACUGAUGGACAGUCAGAAAGGACCAUCCAGACCAUAGAGGAUAUGCUUCGACUAUGUGUGUUAGACUUUGGCGGUUCUUGGAAGCAGCAUCUACCUUUGGUGGAGUUUGCCUACAAUAACAGCCAUCAUGCUAGCAUAGGGAUGGCUCCUUAUGAAGCUUUGUAUGGGAGGAAGUGCAGAUCACCUGUUUGCUGGGAAGAGGUAGGAGAGAAGGCUCUUGCAGGGCCAGAGUUAGUAGAAAUUACCAGUAGAAUGGUGCCCAUGAUCAGAGAGAGAAUCAGAACAGCACAGAGCAGACAGAAAAGUUAUGCAGACGUUCGCAGAAAGCGGUUAGAGUUUCAAGAGGGUAAUUGGGUAUUGCUGAAAGUGUCUCCAAUGAAAGAAGUGGUUCGUUUUGGGAAGAAGGGUAAAUUAGCUCCACGGUACAUUGGACCCUUUGAGGUGUUGCAGAGGAUCGGAAAUGUGUCGUAUAAGCUGGAUUUACCUGCUUCUAUGGAGAGAAUUCACCCGGUAUUUCAUGUUUCUAUGCUACGGCAGUUUGUGUCAAAUCCGAAUCAGGUUCUGAGUGAGCCUGAGGUGGAGAUUCAUACAGAUCUCACCUAUAUAGAGCAGCCAGUGCGGAUUCUGGACACACAGAUCAGACAGCUAAGGAACAAGGAGAUUCCGAUGGUGAAAGUCCUGUGGAACCACCAUAAUCUAGAAGAGUGCACCUGGAGACGCGGGAGUCUAUGCUCCAGCAAUAUCCAUAUCUGUUUUGAGGUUAGUUUCCUCCUUUUCGUAUGUUUAUGGUUUAGGAACAUCCGAGGAUGAAUGUUCUUAAGGGGGGGGAGAAUGUAAUACCCGGCUAGAAUCCGACACCGGAAUUCCUGUCGUUCGGUGGAAUCCGGGGUGUUGGAAUGCUAUAGAAGGGUAGGAUUUAUGUUUUUCUUAAGUAUGUGAUAUGUUUUCAGGUUUUUAAGUUAAAUGGAGUUGAGUUGUGCAGAGAAAAGUCUAUGGGGACUUUUGCCACGUUUGGCCGCCGAAGGUAAGUUCGGCCGCCGAAAGUGCCCAAUGUUCGGCUUCCGCAGGUCAGGUUCGGCCCCCGAAUGUUGCAUGGUUUUGCAUGCGAUUCGACAGCCGAAGCUGAGUUGCUCAGCCAGCUAUUGUGCCAUCCUUAGUCAGCAUUUUGGACAGGUGUUAGCUCCAACUUGUUGCCAGAAGUUUGGCCAUGUUCCCCAUGACUCAUCUGCAAGCUUUUUAGUAGCUCAUGCAGAAGGUUGAAGGUUUCGACGAUUGUGAAGGUAAAAAGUUAAGUGUUUGAGUUUAGUGAGUUGGAAGAAGAGUUGAUCUAGUUUCUGUGUUCAGAUCGUUCAUCUUCUAGUUUACAGGAGGUAAGUGAAGAUCUUGACUUUGUUUUAUUGGUUUAUGGAAGGUUUAGAGAGGUUUGGUUAGAGAUGAUGCAUGCUUAGGUGAAAAAGGGGAUGUUUUGAUGGUUUUAUGCAUGACAGCAUGAUUGUGUGUUUUGUUUGAUGUGUUUUUGGGGUUUUAGGUAGUUUUGGGACCCCUUUGGCCAUAUACGUGAGUAUAUGUGUGUAGAAGAGUGGAAGUAUGCAUGUUUUGAGAGGGUGAAGGGAUGGAGGAGCUUGUUUGCCAUCGAGGCUGAGUUCUGGAUGAACUCAGGUUCGGCAACCGAAGGUGCAUUCGGCCGCCGAACCUCUUGCAUGGUGGCUUUGGCUGCCACAGCUUGCCCCCGAGAGUUUUGAUGUUCGGCUCUGUUUGGGGGAUUCGGCCGCCGAAAGUGCCGCCGAAGGUUAGAGACUUUCGUCUCUGGAGUGCCUUGUGGCCUCUGAAAUUUGCCCCCGAAAGGGUUCGGCAGCCGAAAGUGGAAGUUCGGCCGCCGAAGGUGCUUGAGUUUCGUCUCUGGAGAGGACUUUCGGCCGCCGAACCUGCCACCGAAAGUGUUCUGUCCAGCUUUCUUUUGCAUGCUUUGCAUGGAUGUUAGAGUGAGUUUAAGGGGAUUGUUGGGGAGUUUAAUAGAGUUGGUCAUAAGCUAGUUUGGUCCCUCAUUUCAGUCUAUCUGUAUAGGUACAGACCAGAGGAACCAGAGAGAGCAGCAGUGAGUUCUGCUCCAGAGUUUUCAGAGCCUGCAGAGUCAGUCCAGUUAGCCAGAGGUGAGUGGAACUAAACUUAACUCUUUUACUUGCACAAUGGAAUGUUUUAGCAUAUCUCAUGCAUCAUGAUUAUGCCAUAGGUUGAAUGCAUUAGUAUCCACGAAUAUGUUGCAUUGCAUCGUUAUUUGAUGAUGUGGGUAAAUGCUGAAUGAUCCAAUAGUCUCAGACAGGAAGUCCAGGAGCCUUUGACUACGCCCUGGCAGGUAUAGAGAAGUCCAGGAGCCUUUGACUACGCCCUGGCAGGUAUAUAGUAAAGUCCAGGAGCCUUUGACUACGCCCUGGCAAUGGUAAGUACAGAGGUGUUAUAUACACAUAUACAUAUAUGACAGGAAGACCAGGUGCUCGAUUCUACGCCCUGGCACAGAGUUACUGGGACUAUGUGGUGACAGGUUUACUCUUGAUGUGGCUUGUCUGUGCUAUGGUGCAUUCCAUGAGAUCAUAUUUUACUGAGAUGUUUUACUGUUCUACUCACUGGGCUAUAGAGCUCAUCCCACUCCCUUAACCCCAGUUUUGCAGGUUCAGUGUACAGUGUACAGGGACAGUCCAGCAGAGUACAGAAAGAGUAAAGAGAUUUGUAAUAGCGUAGAGUGGACAUGUAAUAGUAAAGAG